UAAGAAUCGGGCAUUGUCAUGACAACCUAAAGUAAGUUCGGUCUUGCCUGAGGUAACUCCAUGUGCGAGGAAAAGGGACCCGAAACCCACCGCUGCUCGGCUUAUCGUCAAAAAUCAUCGAGCAACCAGAGGCCAUAAAGCACACUAGGGUCUUGACGUGCUGCUCUAGCGCAGGAAUCUCUCAAAUCACUCAUACAGCAGGAGAUGAAGUAUUAUGGAGGUAUAACACGUAUAGAAGUAGGAUUUAAGGCUGAAUAAUAUCCCUCAAUCUCAGAGCAAAUAGGACCAAUGUGAAGGGAUGAGAGCACAGCUGGCCCCUGAGACCUCAGGAUCCUGGGCAAACAGGCUUCCAGCAUGAACCAUCUAGUCUCUGCAACACAAGACAAUCCCAAACAAUAGACAACAAGUGGAUAAACAUAAGACUUAAUAAAUUCCCAUUUCUCUUCCUUGGUGGAUACAUAAUAAAAAGAAGAUUUAGACUUCAACUGGUUACAUUUUUAUGUAGGCUAUUAUUUAAUUUAUAUUUUGAAGUGGUAGUAUUUUUAAACAAAAACCAGUAGUGAUGGUUUUAAUAAUAAUGAUUGUCAUUAUUUUCUUUUGAUUACUUAUUUGUAGCAAUAGCUGUUGAAUUAAAAGUAAAAAAGGACUAUAAAACACAUUAAA